AAAUGGCCAAAAACGGGUGGGCUAUAGCCUUGGCGGGGGGCGUGGGCGAAGUUCGUCCGCCGGACUCGGAAUGGCACCAGACUUUGCGGGCGGCCUCCGUGUGCCAAAAAUAGGCCACGGGGACAGCCGCGGUCAAAAAUCAGCCCCCGAAGGUCGGGGCGCCGAGACCCCCCAGCGGAAAAAUGGCCAAAAAAUGGGUGGGCUAUGGUCUUCGUGGGGGGCGUGGGCGAAGUUCGUCCGCCGGACUCGGAAUGGCCCAAGACUUUGCGGGCGGACUCCGUGUGCCAAAAAUAGGCCACGGGCACAGCCGCGCCCAAAAAUCAGCCCCCGAAGGUCGGGGAGCCAAGACCCCCCAGCGGAAAAAUGACCAAAAAUCGGGUGGGCUAUAGCCUUGGUGGGGGGCGUGGGCGAAGUUCGUCCGCCGGACUCGGAAUGGCCCCAGACUUUACGGGCGGCCUCUGUGUGCCAAAAAUAGGCCACGGGCACAGCCGCGCCCAAAAAUCAGCCCCCUUUCCGUCGGGGCGCCAAGACCCCCCAGCGGAAAAAUGGCCAAAAAACGGGUGGGCUAUAGCCUUGGUGGGGGGCGUGGGCGAUGUUCGUCCGCCGGACUCGGAAUGGCCCCAGACUUUGCGGGCUGCCUCCGUGUACCAAAAAUAGACCACGGGCACAGCCGCACCCAAAAAUGACCGCCCGAAGGUCGGGGUAACAACACCCCCCACCGGAAAAUUGGCCAAAAAACGGGUGGGCUAUAGCCCAAGGUGGGGGGCGUGGGCGAAGUUCGUCCGCCGGACUCGGAAUGGCCCCAUACUUUUGCGGGGGGCCUCCGGGUGCC
rnacentral:lncRNA from 1 species